GCGGAGCUACAAGGGGGCAGGAGGGGGGCUUGCUACCCCUUUCAAAAAUCUUUUUUCCCUAAUUUUUGUGCCAGUAUCAUCAUUGAGAAUUCAUCAAUACACGGUUCUUGAAGCUUUGCAAAAUUUUAAUUGAAUUUAAGAUAACAAUUAAAUAUAACAUGUUAUAUAUAUAAAAUGUUCUAGCUCCCAGCAUUGGUAGUCGACGGUGAAAACCUGCUUUUCAGCACAAGACCACCCACACUCUGCUUGGUACAUCGACGUUUAUCUCAAAUAUCUCCUUAACUUAUCCCCCUAUAAUUUUCCAUCUCGGUAUUAUCACAAUUACGCCGUGUGCCAGGAGGGGAGGGAACUCCCCGCGGCUCGUGACUGCCUGUGUGCCACCAGCGGGUUUGCGGUCUGCUUGGAUUUGUGAAACACUGACAGACAACCCCUUCAUCAGGCCUGUCAAACAAGGAUGACAAAUGUGUCUCCACAUCCCCAACAUGCCUACAAUAUUUAAAACCAUGGGAGAAUGGCAAAGCCGACAAAGAAUAGCCCCUCCUGGCAGGCACAAAGUUCAAGCUGUGUCAGCCUGUAUCAGUCUCAAAUUCUGAGGAGAGACUCUGAGCUGAACUUGAUGGCAUGUUGACUUAAUGAUUCUGGCAGAGCAGAUAUGGUGUCUGUCUAGUGUUUCUACAAGGCAGUGAAGUCAAGUCAAAACACAUUCACUGAAAUGACUUUAAAAGGGAUGCGACUCCGAUUAAAUAUAGAUAUCAUUAUGUAACAUUUAAAACAAAUCUAUCCAGAAGGUGAUUUUUUUUUCUCUGUUUUAGUUAACAACAAAAGUCAGUUUCAGUUCAUUUGUACUGAUCACUCAGAAUACACACACAUUUUCCCGUCCUCACACAUCUUUGAUCGCUAUCACCAAAAACAAUAGCUGGGAGAUACAGUCUGGCUAUCAGGCAAUCAAACAAACAGUCAUUUUUCUUUCCAGCUGCAACCAAGCAUGUAACUAUAUUACUUUGCCCGGUGCUCGGAGCCUUGUCAAAAAAUGACAGAAGAUCGCACCUUUUUUUCCCAGGGUGAGUGCUUUAAUUACAGCAUGGCUUCUAGCCUUACCGAACCAGUACAAGUGUCAGUCCAAAGUUCAUCGUUCUUUGUGAAAGAGGAUUCCACAAAAAAAAAAAAAAAAAAAAAGAUCUCAUUGUUAGGCGGCGGAACAUUGUUGAACAGAAUUCUGCAGGUUUUUUAGGUCAUCCUCAGUGUCCCCUCCUUCUUUUUUUCUGAUGUUCCUAUCACGUUUCUGUAAAACUCCAUAACAUCAAUGCUUUGAUACCCAAUAUUUUAAUUGCCGCGGUCAUACAUCUCGCUGUCCUUCGCAAACAAUAAAUGAGUCUGGAAAGCAAAAGGGAAAUGGUUAGGAUGGAGUCAUUCACUGCGUGCAGGUUCACCUCUGACGAGCGGACCUGAGACAUCGUCAUGGUAAUGGACCGCUGUAACGUCUGAACUGAAUCACCUGGACCGUUCCGUAAAUGGUGGAAGAGUUAAAAGAGGCUGAUGUCACUGCUACCAAGGGUUACGACUGCCUCUCAGCUUCCAGUCUGUCACAGUGAAGGGGCAUAAUGGGCCUGAGAAGAUCAACCCAUCUAAAGAGGGAUUUGGAACCUUUCACCCCCGGAGAAAUCCAGGAUGAGGGAAGCAUAAAUGUGCACAAGUGCACAUUUUCGAGAGGUGUUAAUACCACCUGCUCUUGCCUGGAAAAUGUCAUCAAAGCGUAAAAGGAAAGAAUAGAUUUUGUAAUUUAAAACUCUAAUAUAAAUACACAGGAAUUUACUUAUAUCAAGUCCAGAGUCAACCGUAGGAAAGAAGCUUCUUAUUAGAUUACUUUUAACAAGCGUUUUAUUGAGUAUUUUGUCAGUCAGAUGGGUCAUA